UUGGUUGGAACAGAACUUAGAACAUUGUAGGCGCUCAAUAGAUAUAAGCCACUAUGGUGCCCUUUUCCAGAUGAAUGAGAGAUGGAGAUACAAAAGGAGCAGGCCAACCUAUGCCAAUUUACCAACAAGCAAGUUUCAUGAGAACCACUUCACCAGAUGAGAGAAUAGUUUAGUUCAUACUGCGGUAUUGUAUGACAAAAGGCAGAGGUCAAGUGGAUGACUCAUAGCAUGGCCAACAUCACUCAGCUACAGCUGCGGAUCUGUAGCAUGUUCUCACUGGCCAAGAGACUGCUGAUUCAGGCAAAUCUUCUGUGGGCUGGAUUAUGUGAGAAAGAAAGUGUCCAUUUUUGGGUCUCUGGAAGGAAAAGGAGACUCAGUUUUUAAGGGAAUUAAGAGGAAACAAGGCAAAAAAUAAUUUCUCUCACAAAAAAAAAAAUAAAUAAAAGGGUGUGCUAUAUUACAC